rnacentral:rRNA from 1 species
UACGUAGGGCGCGAGCGUUGUCCGGAAUUAUUGGGCGUAAAGAGCUCGUAGGCGGCUUGUCACGUCGGGUGUGAAAGACCGGGGCUUAACUCCGGUUCUGCAUUCGAUACGGGCUAGCUAGAGUGUGGUAGGGGAGAUCGGAAUUCCUGGUGUAGCGGUGAAAUGCGCAGAUAUCAGGAGGAACACCGGUGGCGAAGGCGGAUCUCUGGGCCUUACCUGACGCUCAGGUGCGAAAGCUAGGGGAGCGAACAGG